AGAAUGAACGCUGGCGGCGUGCUUAACACAUGCAAGUCGAGCGAGGCCUGGGGGGCAACUCCCAGAGUCGAGCGGCGGACGGGUGAGUAACACGUGGGUAACCUGCCCGGAAGUGGGGAAUACCUCGGGGAAACUCGAGCUAAUACCGCAUGACAUCUUUGGGACGAAAGUCCUGACGAUCAAAGCGGGGUCGCAAGAUCUCGCGCUACCGGAUGGGCCCGCGCCCGAUUAGCUAGUUGGUGAGGUAACGGCUCACCAAGGCUUCGAUCGGUAACCGGCCUGAGAGGGCGAGUCGGUCGACACCGGAACUGAGACACGGUCCGGACUCCUACGGGAGGCAGCAGUGGGGAAUCUUGCGCAAUGGGCGAAAGCCUGACGCAGCAACGCCGCGUGGAGGAUGAAGGCCCUUGGUUGUAAACUCCUGUCGGCUGGAAGAAGUCGUGCGGUGCUCAUACCACCGUGCGUUGACUGUACCAGCAAAGGACGCCCCGCUAACUCUGUGCCAGCA
rnacentral:rRNA from 1 species